CCUANGGGUGGCAGCAGUGAGGAAUAUUGGUCAAUGGGCGGAAGCCUGAACCAGCCAUCCCGCGUGCAGGAAGACGGCCCUAUGGGUUGUAAACUGCUUUUCCAGGGGGAGAAUUGUCACGACGAGUCGUGGCUUGACGGUACCCUGGGAAUAAGCAUCGGCUAACUCCGUGCCAGCAGCCGCGGUAAUACGGAGGAUGCGAGCGUUAUCCGGAUUUAUUGGGUUUAAAGGGUGCGUAGGCGGACCAAUAAGUCAGUGGUGAAAACCUGCAGCUUAACUGUAGACUUGCCGUUGAUACUGUUGGUCUUGAGUAUGGUCAAGGUAGGCGGAAUGUGUAAUGUAGCGGUGAAAUGCUUAGAUAUUACACAGAACACCGAUUGCGAAGGCAGCUUGCUGGGCCAUUACUGACGCUGAUGCACGAAAGCGUGGGGAUCGAACAGGAUUAGAUACCCUANUANUC
rnacentral:rRNA from 1 species